rnacentral:rRNA from 1 species
UACGUAGGGUGCAAGCGUUAAUCGGAAUUACUGGGCGUAAAGCGUGCGCAGGCGGAUGCAUAAGUCAGACGUGAAAGCCCCGGGCUUAACCUGGGAACGGCGUUUGAAACUGUGCGUCUAGAGUGCGUCAGAGGGGGGUGGAAUUCCGCGUGUAGCAGUGAAAUGCGUAGAGAUGCGGAGGAACACCGAUGGCGAAGGCAGCCCCCUGGGAUGACACUGACGCUCAUGCACGAAAGCGUGGGGAGCAAACAGG